GACGAACGCUGGCGGCGUGCCUAAUACAUGCGAGUAGAACGCUGAAGCGAGGAGCUUGCUCUUCUUGGAUGAGUUGCGAACGGGUGAGUAACGCGUAGUUAACCUGCCUUGUAGCGGGGGAUAACUAUUGGAAAAGAUAGCUAAUACCGCAUAACAAUGGAUGACACAUGUCAUUUAUUUGAAAGGGGCAAUUGCUCCACUACAAGAUGGACCUGCGUUGUAUUAGCUAGUAGGUGAGGUAAUGGCUCACCUAGGCGACGAUACAUAGCCGACCUGAGAGGGUGAUCGGCCACACAGAGACGGAGACACGGCCCGGACUCAUGCGGGGGGGAGCAAUAAGGAAUCGUCGGCGAAGGGGGCAAGCCUGACCGAGCAACGCCGGGUGAGUGAAGAAGGUUGUCGGAUGGUAAAGCUCUGUUGUAAGUCAAGAAAGGGUGUGAGAGUGGAAAGUGCACACUGUGACGGUAGCUUACCAGAAAGGGACGGCUAACUACGUG
rnacentral:rRNA from 1 species